GGUGAACGCUGGCGGUAGGCCUAACACAUGCAAGUCGAACGGCAGCACAGUAAGAGCUUGCUCUUACGGGUGGCGAGUGGCGGACGGGUGAGGAAUACAUCGGAAUCUACUUUUUCGUGGGGGAUAACGUAGGGAAACUUACGCUAAUACCGCAUACGACCUACGGGUGAAAGCAGGGGAUCUUCGGACCUUGCGCGAUUGAAUGAGCCGAUGUCGGAUUAGCUAGUUGGCGGGGUAAAGGCCCACCAAGGCGACGAUCCGUAGCUGGUCUGAGAGGAUGGUCGGCCACACUGGAACUGGGACACGGUCCAGACUCCUACGGGAGGCAGCAGUGGGGAAUAUUGGACAAUGGGCGCGAGCCUGAUCCAGCCAUCCCGCGUGGGUGAAGAAGGCCUUCGGGUUGUAAAGCCCUUUUGUUGGGAAAGAAAAGCAGCAGGUUAAUACCCCGCUGUUCUGACGGUACCCAAAGAAUAAGCACCGGCUAACUUCGUG
rnacentral:rRNA from 1 species